UCCUCGAGUAGCCCCAACAGUACACAUUUUAGAUGUAGCCCCGGACAAGCACAUCGGAUUCAACUUGUCAUCAACCCCACAAGACAUGCCAGCAGCGGUCUCUUCACACUCCCCAAAUCCAGUGCAGAUUGUGGGAGGCGCACAGCAUUAAAUAGAGCCAUGACUACGUGGAACUAUAUUCCACUUCAGUUCAUGAUUGGGCCAACCCUGACAGCUGGACUAUGCUGCUACUGUGGGAAGGGCAGCUUGGGCCACCCGUGAAUCCCCUGGACAGGCUUUGUAUGGCAGAAUUCAUCAAGCAGAUGGAUAUGGACGAAACCCCAGUAAAAGGGGAUACAAAGGUUGAGGUCCAUGUGUUUUUUUAUAUAUUUUUUAAAUCAAUCACAUAAUUCCUCCAUUUUUUUGUUGUUGUAAAAAAAAAACAUCUGGGACAUAAACCAAAGGCUCUGGGUCUUUCUUGUGGCAGUCCUCGUGAGCCAGUUUCAUCAUAGCGCCUGAUGGUUUUACGACUGCACUUGAAGAAACUUUCAAAGUUCUUAAUUUUCCGUAUUGACUGACAUUCAUGUCUUUAAAAUA